UGAAGAAUUUGUCCAAACGGCGGGGGAUAGCCGGCCCAACGGCCGGGUAAUACCGCGUACGACCCUCGGGGGGCAUCCCCUGAAGGUGAAAGCCGCAAGGCGCCGAUGGAGAACUUCGCGGCCUAUCAGCUAGUUGGUGAGGUCAUGGCUCACCAAGGCGACGACGGGUAGCUGGUCCGAGAGGAUGACCAGCCACAUUGGGACUGAGACACGGCCCAGACUCCUACGGGAGGCAG
rnacentral:rRNA from 1 species